GACGAACCAUGAUGUAAUUUAUUUGGUGUUGUGGGGAAUCAGGACUGUUACUUCUGAAAAAAUUAGAGCGUUUAAAGCAAGCUCACGCUUGAAUACAUUAGCAUGGAAUAAUGAAAUAGGACGUUUGAUUCUAUUUUGUUGGUUUCUAGGAUCGACGUAAUGAUUAAUAGGGAUAGUUGGGGGCAUUAGUAUUCAAUUGUCAGAGGUGAAAUUCUUGGAUUUAUUGAAGACUAACUACUGCGAAAGCAUUUGCCAAGGAUGUUUUCAUUAAUCAAGAACGAAAGUUAGGGGAUCGAAGACGAUCAGAUACCGUCGUAGUCUUAACCAUAAACUAUGCCGACUAGGGAUCGGAUGAUGUUAAUUUUUUAAUGACUCAUUCGGCGCCUUACG
rnacentral:rRNA from 1 species